AUUGAACGCUGGCGGAAUGCUUUACACAUGCAAGUCGAACGGCAGCACGGACUUCGGUCUGGUGGCGAGUGGCGAACGGGUGAGUAAUGUAUCGGAACGUGCCCAGUCGUGGGGGAUAACGUAGUGAAAAUUACGCUAAUACCGCAUACGAUCUAUGGAUGAAAGCGGGGGAUCGCAAGACCUCGCGCGAUUGGAGCGGCCGAUAUCAGAUUAGGUAGUUGGUGGGGUAAAGGCCCACCAAGCCAACGAUCUGUAGCUGGUCUGAGAGGACGACCAGCCACACUGGAACGGAGACACGGUCCAGACUCCUACGGGAGGCAGCAGUGGGGAAUUUUGGACCAUGGGCGAAAGCCUGAUCCAGCCAUUCCGCGUGCAGGACGAAGGCCCUCGGGUUGUAAACUGCUUUUGUACAGAACGAAAAGGUUUCUACUAAUACUAGGAGCUCAUGACGGUACUGUAAGAAUAAGCACCGGCUAACUACGUGCCAGCCGCCGCAGUAA
rnacentral:rRNA from 1 species